AUGGCCGCAGUACUGCCGCCGUGGCCGCACCCCGCGGCGGCGACGGAGACCCACGUCCGUUUCUGCGGGAAAGACACCAUCACAGUCGAGCCCAAGCCGAGCGACCAGCCGUGCACCGUGCGCCUCCGCAGCGACCUGGUCCUGUCUCACGGGCUGCGCGGCGUCGGCGGCCGUUACUUCGGCGUGACCACCGACCGCGUCGCCAGGGCGCUCGACCACCGGGUCGGUGUCCGCGACGCCGCCGUCCUCCGCAGCGUGGAGGCCUGCAGCGACCUCAUCCACAGUAUGCUCGCCGAGGCGCCGGUGACCGCCGAGUACGACCUCGCCGCCGGCAACUGGAUGGAUUCCUCCACGGACUGCACGCCCCUCGACAUAGCCAUCGCGAUCGUCACGUACGUCUGCGAGGAGAUCGACGCGAUGGUCGACAUCGACGACAUGGACUUCGUCGCCCCGAGCCUCCACUUCGACGUCCACAUGCCCCAGCUCCGGGUAACCUUGGUCUACAGCGAGCCCAAGGCGCUGCUCCUCGCGUGCAAAGAGGCCGCCGCCGCCGCCGCGAAGACCGGGGCUCCGGCGACAGGCCGGAAGCGCCGCCGUGAGUCCGGCAAGGCGUGCGCCAUCUGUAUGGUGGACGAGGAUGCCAGCUGGGACGAGGAGACCGUCGCGCUGCCGUGCUCCCAUGCCUUCCACAGUGGGUGCAUCCUGACGUGGUUCCACCGGGCGCCGACGUGCCCGACCUGCCGCCUUGACAUCAUGGAGUGCUUCAGCUUCGUCAGAUCAUCGGCGCCGCCGGAGCAGUUCACGGAUGACGUGGCCGAAGAUGAGCUCGAUCGCGUUAUAGGCUUCUUAGCCCAUGGUGAGCGGCUCGUCGGCCCCGCGGACACAGAUGAGCAGCAGCCCGUAGAUUCCGAUCCCGAAGAGGAUGAGUUUAUAGAUUCCGAUCCCGAAGAGGAUGAGUUUAUAGAUUCCGAUCCCGAAGAGGAUGAGCAGCAGCUGGUGGAUACGGGAAGAAUAGUCGGCACAUCAUGCACUGAAUCCACCAUGAAAUCGUCUCCCAAUUUUUCCUAA
rnacentral:rRNA from 1 species